rnacentral:lncRNA from 1 species
AUUAAAGUUUCCAAGCAAGUCAAUACAUGCAAUAACAAAAAACUUUUGGGACAGAAGACACUGUUUAAAAAAACGUGACCAAAGAAAAGAAAAGGAAAUGUACUUGUAAUCGACACUGGAGAAAAAAUGGACUCUUCAGGUAAGAAGUUUUAUUCUGCAAUAACUUUUGUUUAAUAGUUAAUCUGUUUUUGAAUAAAAGAAUGUGUAAAGUAUAUUUUAGUGGGACAGCAUCCCAACAAACAAUAAAUCUGAAGAGAUAUCAAGUGGUAAAUAUUUUGCUUACUGAAAGUUAAUACCAAAUGUGCCAUGCUAUAAAUUAUCCUUCAAUCUGAAGAAGGUAUGAAUAUAUGCAACAGGAAUUUUACAGAAAAAAUCUGUCCUUUAUUAUGUCUAUAUGCUAGCCGCAAAUUUUUCACUGCAUUUGCAUAUCUAGUUAGGUUAGUACUUUUUCAUCUUUUUAAAAUUUUGUCUUGCAAAACAACACAUUGCAGGGAUAAAUAAAGUAAAUCUAACAAGUUUUCAUUUUAUCCAGUUUUUUUUCAUGUUUGCACAUUCUCUUUCCCAUACAAUGUUUUGGUGAAGUUAAAUAAUAGUAGUUUGUACACAUGUUGCCACUUGGAAAUAUAAAUGAUAUGGAAAAUAGCAUUGUGAGCUCUCUCAAGCCUAUGUGAGUUGUAGGAUUUUUAGAAAUUUUCAUCAUUUGUUCAUAAGUAGGAGGCCACUGACUGCCUAAGAGGGCGCCCGCUCCGGUCAUGCUUCAGUGAUUCCCUAUAUAAUCAACCAAAUUUUUACCUGGCCCCACUCUAAAUCCACCUUUGCUAAGACCAGUUAAAUAAUCAGCUUUGGUCAAUUAUGCAUUGAAAUUCUGUUAAAAAGGAAGGUGUUUGACUUUUUCUAGUUUAAAAAUUAAGUGCUAAGAAACUAUUUUUACAGGAAUUAAUAGUUCCCCUUUAAAAUGGAAAGUAUAAUGAAAAUUGCAUUGUCAAUCUCAAUCCUAUUGUUCAACUUCAUGUUUGUUUUUAUGAUUUUUUUUUAUCAAAUUCAAAGGUUAGUUUGGCAAGCCAAAGUCAUGGAUGAGUUCAAUAAAUGUUGCAGAUUAGCUUUUUUUGCAGGAGUUAAGCUGCUUUAGAAAACUGCAUUUGUUACUUAUUUCAAGUAUAAUAACUUGUUGAUUUUGCGCAUUUUUUUCAUAAGAAUGUUCAGUAUAUAUUUGCCUUUCGUGAACUUUUAACUUUCAGUUACAUUCAGUUCUUGUGAAAUUCAACAUCUCUUACAUAAACAUCACAAAUGUCUUUUUACUUAAUCACCUUUUUUAUGUUUACAGAAGAAAUUGUCACACGGAAAUGUAUCUUGGGCAAAUUAAAAAGGAGAAGUAACUCUGCUAGGAAGCAGUUCCAGUCAUUUGUAGCAACAGGACUGUGACGAAUAGAACUUUAAUAUAAACUGAAUCAAAAUAUAGAAUUUACCAAACUUGUGUCAGAUAAUACUCUCAUGCUUCUAUUGGAGGACAUCAAUGAUGAGAAGUAAAGGAAAAGACAAUAAAUGACAGCAUAUCAAAUAUCACAAUGUAUAUUUAGUCAGUUAACACAUUAAUUCAUCUACAUACUUUACAGCAUUUCAUUUUAACUAUGUGUAAAUUUUGUCUAUUCAAGCUUAACAAAAUGCUUUGAAAUUAAAAUAUUAAAUAUUUUAGGCAGACAUGUUUUUGUAAUUUUCAUUUAUUUUUCAAACUUUCAAGUUAUUACAUUCUUCAGUGGCGGAUCCAGCCAAAAGCCCAUUUUUCAAAGGGGUUUCCCAACCAAGGAUAAAGGAGGGGUUCCAAUCAUGUCUUUCAUUUAUAAAUUGUUAAUUUCCACUACAAAACUAAAAAAAAUAAGCCAAAGAUAA